UAUAUAUUAUAUAGGCACAACAUUCUAUUAACAUACAUUGGGGGUAAAUGAAGCAACAUAGACCUGGAAGGGUCUACAAAAAGUGCACAGGUGGAGAUAUAAAGAUGACAAGGCGUGCACAUGCUCCCUAGAGAACCAGCAACAACCCAUCAGGUUUAUUUCAAUAAUGAUCCUUCCGCAGGUUCACCUACGGAAA
rnacentral:misc_RNA from 1 species